UACGUAGGUGGCAAGCGUUGUCCGGAUUUACUGGGCGUAAAGAGCGCGCAGGCGGUCGUUCAAGUCGCGUGUGAAAGCCCCCGGCUCAACUGGGGAGGGUCACGCGAUACUGAUCGACUCGAAGGCAGGAGAGGGUAGUGGAAUUCCCGGUGUAGUGGUGAAAUGCGUAGAUAUCGGGAGGAACACCAGUGGCGAAGGCGACUACCUGGCCUGUUUCUUGACGCUGAAGCGCGAAAGCUAGGGGAGCAAACGGG
rnacentral:rRNA from 1 species